UUUGUGCCCAUGCCCUUUGUGAUGGGUUUUGAAUGAAUUGAGUACCCGAUUCACACAGAUUUCUGUGCAUACGCUCAGUUACAAGUGAUUGGAGUGAAUCGAGUACCCCAUUCAUAACCUGUUCCACAUUUCUGCACAUGCGCUCUGUGAGGGGUGACUCAAUUGAAUCAAGUACCCGAUUUACUUCAGUGAGUGACUCAUAAGAACAGUCAAAGGAAUCCUGUUUCCCAUCACUACUUCCUGGUUCAUGGAGGAUGAGACAAGUAUGAAUCAGCAAAGUGAAAGGCAGCGGUCUCAAGCUAAGCAAACAGCCUUCUGGGGGAGGUUGGCAUCACCCCUAUACAUACUCUAGGCUGCGGGGCUAUGCUGCAGCCGAAUCCAGCUAAGUUUGCGGGGGAGGCAGGGAACGCCCUGGACGGGUUGCCAGCCAAUCACAGUCCUGCAGGGUCAAGACACUCACGUCUGUGGAAGCUCCAGGCUGAAUGCAUACUCGUGUCUUCCUGAAUGGAUAGUGGUGAGUCC